UCCGGUGGCUUUGCCGGAGGGGAAACACCCGUUCCCAUCCCGAACACGGCCGUUAAGACCUCCAGGGCCCAUGAUACUGCACCCGCGAGGGUGUGGGAAAGUCGGUCGCUGCCGGAC
rfam:Leptospirillum ferrodiazotrophum TBAL3_9568_7, whole genome shotgun sequence.